GGCGUGCCUAAUACAUGCAAGUCGAGCGAAUGAUGAGGAGCUUGCUCCUCUGAUUUAGCGGCGGACGGGUGAGUAACACGUGGGUAAUCUGCCUGUAAGACGGGGAUAACUCCGGGAAACCGGGGCUAAUACCGGAUAAUAAGAGAAGAAGCAUUUCUUCUUUUUGAAAGUCGGUUUCGGCUGACACUUACAGAUGAGCCCGCGGCGCAUUAGCUAGUUGGUGAGGUAACGGCUCACCAAGGCGACGAUGCGUAGCCGACCUGAGAGGGUGAUCGGCCACACUGGGACUGAGACACGGCCCAGACUCCUACGGGAGGCAGCAGUAGGGAAUCUUCGGCAAUGGGCGAAAGCCUGACCGAGCAACGCCGCGUGAGCGAUGAAGGCCUUCGGGUCGUAAAGCUCUGUUGUUAGAGAAGAACAAGUACGAGAGUAACUGCUCGUACCUUGACGGUACCUAACCUGAAAGCCACGGCUAACUACGUGCCAGCAGCCGCGGUAAUAC
rnacentral:rRNA from 1 species